rnacentral:snRNA from 1 species
AUACUUACCUGGCAGGGGAGACACCAUGAUCAAGAAGGCGGUUCACCCAGGGCGAGGCUCGUCCAUUGCACUCCGGGGGGGCCUGCGUUCGCGCUCUCCCCUGAAAGUGCUGGUUGACAAAAGCAGAUGGGUUUUUUCUCCUGCUCUUUUUUUAUACAGAGCGUUUGUUCUGC